rnacentral:misc_RNA from 1 species
GAUGAAGAACGUAGUGAAAUGCGAUAAGUAAUGUGAAUUGCAGAAUUCAGUGAAUCAUCGAAUCUUUGAACGCACAUUGCGCCCCCUGGUAUUCCGGGGGGCAUGCCUGUUCGAGCGUCAUUUCACCACUCAAGCCUCGCUUGGCAUUGGGCAACGCGGUCCGCCGCGUGCCUCAAAUCGACCGGCUGGGUCUUCUGUCCCCUAAGCGUUGUGGAAACUUUCGCUAAAGGGUGUUCGGGAGGCUACGCCGUAAAACAACCCCAUUUCUAAGGUUGACCUCGGAUCAGGUAGGGAUACCCGCUGAACUUAAGCAUAUCAAUAAGCGGAGGA